GUCCAGGGUAGCCUAGUGGACAUGGCAUCGGCCCGGUAAGCGGAAGGUCGUGGGUUCGAUUCCCAUCCCCGGACA
rnacentral:tRNA from 1 species